rnacentral:rRNA from 1 species
GUCUACGACCAUACCACCCUGAACACACCUGAUCUCCAAAGCUAAGCCGAGGAUCAGGGCUGGUUAGUGCUUGGAUGGGAGAAUGGAGAUAGAAAUUUUGCUAAUUGAGUGAAGUGACAUUAGUAGGUU